rnacentral:rRNA from 1 species
AGGACGAACGCUGGCGGCGUGCUUAACACAUGCAAGUCGAGCGGAAAGGCCCUUCGGGGUACUCGAGCGGCGAACGGGUGAGUAACACGUGAGUAAUCUGCCCCUAGCUCUGGGAUAGCUCCGGGAAACCGGGAUUAAUACCAGAUACGACCACUUUAGACAUCUGUUGUGGUGGAAAGAAUUUUGGCUAGGGAUGAGCUCGCGGCCUAUCAGCUUGUUGGUGGGGUAACGGCUCACCAAGGCGACGACGGGUAGCCGGCCUGAGAGGGCGACCGGCCACACUGGGACUGAGACACGGCCCAGACUCCUACGGGAGGCAGCAGUGGGGAAUAUUGCGCAAUGGGCGAAAGCCUGACGCAGCGACGCCGCGUGGGGGAUGAAGGCCUUCGGGUUGUAAACCCCUUUCAGCAGGACGAAGCGAAAGUGACGGUACCUGCAGAAGAAGCGCCGGCUAACUACGUGCCAGCAGCCGC